rnacentral:rRNA from 1 species
GUCCACGCAGUAACGAUGAAUACUAGCUGUAUGCGAUAUAGUGUAUGUGGCAAAGCGAAAGCGUUAAGUAUUCCACCUGGGGAGUACGUUCGCAAGAAUGAAACUCAAAGGAAUUGACGGGGCCCGCACAAGCGGAGGAACAUGUGGUUUAAUUCGAUGAUACGCGAGGAACCUUACCCGGGCUUGAAAUGCAGAGGAAUUAUUGGGAAACCGAUACGCCAGCAAAUGGUCUCUGUGUAGGUGCUGCAUGGUUGUCGU